UGAAAGGUGCUUGCAUCUUGAUUUAAUUUUGAACGAGUGGCGGACGGGUGAGUAACACGUGGGUAACCUGCCCUUAAGUGGGGGAUAACAUUUGGAAACAGAUGCUAAUACCGCAUAAAUCCAAGAACCGCAUGGUUCUUGGCUGAAAGAUGGCGUAAGCUAUCGCUUUUGGAUGGACCCGCGGCGUAUUAGCUAGUUGGUGAGGUAACGGCUCACCAAGGCAAUGAUACGUAGCCGAACUGAGAGGUUGAUCGGCCACAUUGGGACUGAGACACGGCCCAAACUCCUACGGGAGGCAGCAGUAGGGAAUCUUCCACAAUGGACGCAAGUCUGAUGGAGCAACGCCGCGUGAGUGAAGAAGGCUUUCGGGUCGUAAAACUCUGUUGUUGGAGAAGAAUGGUCGGCAGAGUAACUGUUGUCGGCGUGACGGUAUCCAACCAGAAAGCCACGGCUAACUACGUGCCAGCAGCCGCGGUAAUACGUAGGUGGCAAGCGUUAUCCGGAUUUAUUGGGCGUAAAGCGAGCGCAGGCGGUUUUUUAAGUCUGAUGUGAAAGCCCUCGGCUUAACCGAGGAAGUGCAUC
rnacentral:rRNA from 2 species